AACCUUCACAGGCUGGCUGCUCCCCAGGCUGGACUGGGUGAAUAUCUCCUUGAAAGCACCCUCAAGCACGAUCAGGAGC
rnacentral:pre_miRNA from 1 species